rnacentral:rRNA from 1 species
GAGUUUGAUCGUGGCUCAGAGUGAACGCUGGCGGCAGGCCUAACACAUGCAAGUCGAGCGGCAGCGCGGGUAGCAAUACCUGGCGGCGAGCGGCGGACGGGUGAGGAAUACAUCGGAAUCUACCUUGUCGUGGGGGAUAACGUAGGGAAACUUACGCUAAUACCGCAUACGACCGAAAGGUGAAAGUGGGGGACCGCAAGGCCUCACGCGAUUAGAUGAGCCGAUGUCGGAUUAGCUUGUUGGUGAGGUAAUGGCUCACCAAGGCGACGAUCCGUAGCUGGUCUGAGAGGAUGAUCAGCCACACUGGAACUGAGACACGGUCCAGACUCCUACGGGAGGCAGCAGUGGGGAAUAUUGGACAAUGGGCGCAAGCCUGAUCCAGCCAUGCCGCGUGGGUGAAGAAGGCC